UGGGAUGUAGCUCAGAUGGUAGAGCGCUCGCUUAGUACGCGAGAGGUACGAGGAUCGAUUCCCUGAAUUUCCA
rnacentral:tRNA from 1 species